GGGAGGGAGGAAGGAAGAAAGAAAGGAGCGAGCAGUGGGCGCCCUCAGCAUCCCCUUUAGCCCCCUCCGCCUCAACCCCCCUCAGCCCCCGGCUGUGCUGCCAGCUGCUGCCUUCCCAGAGCGGGCCCCGCCGUGGCUGAGGUAACACCGCCAGCGCCGGAAGGUGGAGCUGAAACAGCGUUUAGAGCGGGUCAGCCCGGCGGAGGAGCGGGGGGAGAGGGAGGGAAGAGCGACGGCAACCCUCUGCCCGCCCUCCCCGGGGUUGUUGCCCGCGGCCUGCCGGUUACAGAUCGCGUGGAGAGAAGAGAUGCCUCCCGCUGAGGGAGCGCUGCCCAGCCGAGGGGUGCGGGAGCAGGAGCGGCCUAACCGCCCUUCCACCCGCGGGAGCUCUUUUUUUGUCAGCAUCACAAACCAGUGAGAGUUAGAGGAAUGGUGGGGAAGAAACUGAAGUAGUCCUGAGCUCUGUGUUUCCAAGGGAAGAUGUGUUUCCAUCUCUGACAUACGUCUGGUCAUAAAAUCAUGCUGAAGUUCAAAGCUAUGAAAUGAUUUAUUAUCAGAAAAAAAGCCAAAUAGGAACAAACUGAGGUAAUAGUUUUAAAAGUAUUAAAAGUUGGCAUUUCCUUGAAGCUAAGUUGAAGGAUUUGGACUGGUAUUUUUUAAAGUUCAUUUUAUAAAAUGAAUUGAUAAAGAAUAUCUUAGUUAAGAAUUUCUCGUGUAAAGACAUCAUAUUGUGUUGUAGAAGCUAGAAAAGCUUGUCAGCUUUGGAGACCAAAAAUGUAAGUUCAAUAUGCAUAGGAAAAGCUGCUGGUAAAGCUGAUGGAACUUGAAUAAAUGAUCAAAUCUCAAUA